UUCUAAUUGGCAAAUAGUCACUGAGGAGGUGCACUCACCUUAGCCUUGCCUUCAUUACUUCAUUACAGGAAAGGGAAUUGAGAUCUGGAAGACUUGAACACAUUUAGCCAUGUGGCUGUAUCAGAAUGGUUGCCUAGCAUGAUGGCUAGAGCUUGAUGACUUCCCUUCCCUUUAUUUAAGGAUAAAAAGGAACAUGUCUCUACUCUGCCUAUAAAAAAAGCUGAUCCAAUGAGAUUCCGAGGUUUCUCCCAGUUAAAUGGUUAAAUCCUGCAACAAGCUGGAAUCCUCCUUCCCUGUUCUCCAGGAUUAAGUGGUUAGAAUCAUGAAGUGCUAAAUCAAUUAACUGAAGACAAGAGGAUGAUCAAAUGAGGACAUUUUUGAAACUUGGAGAAAGGAGGAGUAGUGGGUUGUUGGUCUAUUUCAGAAGGAAAAGCAAUGAUGUGGUUCCCAAUUCUCCACCCCUUCCCCACAAGAGAACUGAAUCAAGUUUAAGAUUUCACAAUUUGAGAUGAGAAGAACUUGGAUUCAGCUUAGAAGUAAAAGAAAAAUGAUGAUGGAAGACAACAAUAAAAGACUGUAUAAAGAGUCA
rnacentral:lncRNA from 1 species